rnacentral:snRNA from 1 species
GUACUCACUUUGGCAGCACAUAUACUAAAAUUGGAAUGAUACCGAGAAGAUUAGCAUUACUCUUGAGCAAGGAAAACCCACAAAUUCGUGAAACGUUCCAUAUUUUA